UGGGGAAUCUUGCACAAUGGGGGAAACCCUGAUGCAGCGACGCCGCGUGAGCGAUGAAGGUUUUCGAAUCGUAAAGCUCUGUCCUAUGGGAAGAUAAUGACGGUACCCUGGGAGGAAGCCCCGGCUAACUACGUGCCAGCAGCCGCGGUAAUACGGAGGGGGCGAGCGUUGUCCGGUAUUACUGGGCGUAAAGGGUUCGCAGGCGGCAGGGCAAGUCCGAUGUAAAAGGCGAAGGCUCAACCUUCGUAAGCAUCGGAAACUGUCAAGCUUGAGUGAAGGAGAGGCAAGUGGAAUUCCUAGUGUAGCGGUGGAAUGCGUAGAUAUUAGGAGGAAAACCGGUGGCGAAGGCGACUUGCUGGACUUAAACUGACGCUGAGGAACGAAAGCGUGGGUAGCAAACAGG
rnacentral:rRNA from 1 species